rnacentral:rRNA from 1 species
GUACACGCUGUGACUAGCAUAUCAAUAAGCGGAGGAAAAGAAACUAACAAGGAUUCCCCUAGUAACGGCGAGUGAAGCGGGAAGAGCUCAAAUUUGAAAUCUUAAAGGGUUUCCCUUUACGAAUUGUAGUUUAAAGAAGUGUUUUCUGUUGAGGUUUUGGUAAAAGUUCUUUGGAAUAGGACAUCAUAGAGGGUGAGAAUCCCGUAUUUGACCUUUACUUUCAACUUUGUGAUACACUUUCAAAGAGUCGGAUUGUUUGGGAAUGCAGUCCAAAAUGGGUGGUAAAUUUCAUCUAAAGCUAAAUAUUGGCGAGAGACCGAUAGCGAACAAGUACCGUGAGGGAAAGAUGAAAAGAACUUUGAAAAGAGAGUUAAACAGUACGUGAAAUUGUCAAAAGGGAAGCGUUUGACACCAGUGUUGUUUUUCUGAAAAUCAAUUAAAGAACUGUUUAUGCUAAGUUGUUUAGACUUUAUCAGCUAACUGUUUAGUUUUGAGCUUUUCUUUAAUGCACUUUUCAGUUAGCAAGUCAACAUCAAUUUCUUUUGCUGUAAAAAAGCUUGAGGAAGGUGGCUUGAGAUUCGUCUUAAGUGUUUAUAGCCUCUUGCCUAUGCAGUCGGAGAGAUUGAGGUCUGCAGCGUAGAUCCUUCGGGGCUAAAUGCAUUUGUGCUAAGUUAUAGCAUUUUAUAGACAACCUGUUGACUAUGAUUUGUCUUGUAGCUUACUCGCUUAUGUUAUUUUACCUACGCUUAGGAUGUUGAUAUGCAUGACUGAUAU